GUGGCGAACGGGUGAGUAACACGUGAGCAAUCUGCCCUUGACUUUGGGAUAACUGCGGGAAACUGUAGCUAAUACCGGAUACUUUCCUCGCUGGGCAUCCAGCGGGGAAGAAAGAAUUUCGGUCAAGGAUGAGCUCGCGGCCUAUCAGCUAGUUGGUGAGGUAAUGGCUCACCAAGGCGACGACGGGUAGCCGGCCUGAGAGGGUGACCGGCCACACUGGAACUGAGACACGGUCCAGACUCCUACGGGAGGCAGCAGUGGGGAAUAUUGCACAAUGGGCGAAAGCCUGAUGCAGCAACGCCGCGUGAGGGAUGAAGGCCUUCGGGUUGUAAACCUCUUUUAGCAGGGAAGAAGCGAAAGUGACGGUACCUGCAGAAAAAGCACCGGCUAACUACGUGCCAGCAGCCGCGGUAAUACGUAGGGUGCAAGCGUUGUCCGGAAUUAUUGGGCGUAAAGAGCUCGUAGGCGGUUUGUCACGUCUGCUGUGAAAAUCCGAGGCUCAACCUCGGACUUGCAGUGGGUACGGGCAGGCUAGAGUGCGGUAGGGGAGAAGGGAAUUCCUGGUGUAGCGGUGGAAUGCGCAGAUAUCAGGAGGAACACCAAUGGCGAAGGCACUUCUCUGGGCCGUAACUGACGCUGAGGAGCGAAAGCGUGGGGAGCGAACAGGAUUAGAUACCCUGGUAGUCCAC
rnacentral:rRNA from 1 species